rnacentral:rRNA from 1 species
GACGAACGCUGGCGGCGUGCUUAACACAUGCAAGUCGAACGGAAAGGCCCUGCUUUUGUGGGGUGCUCGAGUGGCGAACGGAUGAGUAACACGUGAGUAACCUGCCCUUGACUUUGGGAUAACUUCAGGAAACUGGGGCUAAUACCGGAUAGGAGCUCCUGCUGCAUGGUGGGGGUUGGAAAGUUUCGGCGGUUGGGGAUGGACUCGCGGCUUAUCAGCUUGUUGGUGGGGUAGUGGCUUACCAAGGCUUUGACGGGUAGCCGGCCUGAGAGGGUGACCGGCCACAUUGGGACUGAGAUACGGCCCAGACUCCUACGGGAGGCAGCAGUGGGGAAGAUUGCACAAUGGGCGGAAGCCUGAUGCAGCAACGCCGCGUGCGGGAUGACGGCCUUCGGGUUGUAAACCGCUUUCGCCUGUGACGAAGCGUGAGUGACGGUAAUGGGUAAAGAAGCACCGGCUAACUACGUG